GCGGAGGCUCUGCUGAGCUGCGGACUUCUAAUCCGACGGUCGCGGGUUCGAAUCCUGCCGGGCGCG
rnacentral:tRNA from 1 species